GAUGAACGCUGGCGGCGUGCCUAAUACAUGCAAGUCGAGCGAAUGGAUUAAGAGCUUGCUCUUAUGAAGUUAGCGGCGGACGGGUGAGUAACACGUGGGUAACCUGCCCAUAAGACUGGGAUAACUCCGGGAAACCGGGGCUAAUACCGGAUAACAUUUUGAACCGCAUGGUUCGAAAUUGAAAGGCGGCUUCGGCUGUUACUUAUGGAUGGACCCGCGUCGCAUUAGCCAGUUGGUGAGGUAACGGCGUACCAAGGCAACGAUGCGUAGCCGACCUGAGAGGGUGAUCGGCCACACUGGGACUGAGACACGGCCCAGACUCCUACGGGAGGCAGCAGUAGGGAAUCUUCCGCAAUGGACGAAAGUCUGACGGAGCAACGCCGCGUGAGUGAUGAAGGCUUUCGGGUCGUAAAACUCUGUUGUUAGGGAAGAACAAGUGCUAGUUGAAUAAGCUGGCACCUUGACGGUACCUAACCAGAAAGCCACGGCUAACUACGUGCCAGCCGCCGCGGUAA
rnacentral:rRNA from 1 species